CUGUCUCUAUGUUUUGAACAUCAAAACAGCUAUUUCAGAGUGUUCAGAUGUAAAUAUUUGUCCCCACAACCUUGGGUUAUCUUUGGAAAACCCACAUCCACUCAAUUUCUCCUCCUUCUCACAACCUUGUUCUUCCACUUACUUUAUCCCUCUCCAUGGUUGGCUACAUUUUCCAUACACUGUACUGUCUACAGAGUGGUUGGGAUGAAAAAGAAGAUUUGUCUGAUGAGUCUUUUCCAGAACAGUCAAACUGACCUGCUACCUCCAAAGACUAAGCAAAACUAUCAUAACAUCAUUCAAUGCACACAGGCAACAUCAGUCAUCUUGAUCUCACACUUCCCAGGCCCUUAUUAAUGGCAGCUGCUCUUCGGAUCACCACGAGACCCAUUCAGCCAGCAUGAUCAAGAUUCAGAAACUCAUUGUAAUCAUCAGUUUAAGUCCCUAAUGAAGACUUAAACUGCCAGCGAUAAAAGCAAGGGGUGAACACACUAAGAGCUGGCUCCUUCAGGUUUCCCCAGCAACCACGAGGGCUAGAAAUUAACUUUUAAAAGUCAUGAAAACUGAGAUGCUCACCUAACAAUGAUUCCAGGAGCAGGGGCUUUAAGGAAAACGCCAACUACAAGAUCCGUUUCUGAGCUUGCUCACUAAAGUUCGCUUUCCUACCACUCUGCCUGCUUGCCGCUCACACUCAAAGCCCCACAGCACUGCUUGACAAGGUUGUGCAGCACCACUGUUCUGAGACUCUAUCACCGAGGCAGAGGGAAGGCACUGAGGGCCAGCUGCAUGGUUUCUCUCUAAAGUGGAUUCCUGGAUCUGACAGCCAAUUGCAUUCACCCUGGACCUGACUGUGUGACUUGGGCUGGAACUUCUGCUACAAUGAACAAACACAUUUAAUUUCCUAUAAACAGCUCAAAAGGUUGCAAUGACUCCUCUCUCUGUGAGCUGAGCUCACGGUAAGCAAACGUCCACAUUUCACCAGGAAUUCACUGUGACAGUCAGAAAUGAACGAAUCAUUUUUAAUAUCCUUUUAAUUAGCCACAGCAGGCGUGACUUUACUGGAGAAACAAAAUGGUAGGGCAUAUGAGCCUUUGCCGCUACAAUAUCAAUUGGUUUGAUUGCAAUGUUGGAUUUUAGAAGAUUCUCCCUAUACGCCCUACAGCACUAAACUAGAGCAGCCCAUAUGUGGGUGGGCAGCACGUGGGCACAAAAGCAGUCUCCUUCUUGUGCUGCCUGAGCAAGAAUCACAGAUAACAGCAGCUCAUGCAAACAUGGAGUUUUCCCCCUCCUUCUUCCAGCAAGCGUCUUGCCAAAAGGGGUUCGGACGGCUGCAGGGCCCUGGCCCCAACCCCUUACUCCACACUGGUCCUUGGAUAGCAAAGCCAAU